UCCUACGGGAGGCAGCAGUGGGGAAUAUUGGGCAAUGGGCGGAAGCCUGACCCAGCGACGCCGCGUGAAGGAGGAAGGCUUUCGAGUUGUAAACUUCUUUGGGGAGGGACGAAGAUGACGGUACCUCCAGAACAAGCCACGGCUAACUACGUGCCAGCAGCCGCGGUAAUACGUAGGUGGCGAGCGUUAUCCGGAUUUACUGGGUGUAAAGGGCGCGCAGGCGGCCCUGGAAGUCAGAUGUGAAAGAUCAAGGCUUAACUUUGACAGGUCAUCUGAAACUUUGGGGCUUGAGUAUCAGAGGGGAAAGUGGAAUUCCUAGUGGAGCGGUAAAAUGCACAGAGAUUAGGAGGAACACCGGUGGCGAAGGCGACUUUCUGGCUGACAACUGACGCUGAGGCGCGAAAGCGUGGGGAGCAAACAGGAUUAGAUACCCUGGUAGUCCACGCCGUAAACGAUGAUUACUGGGUGUAGGGAGUAUCGACUCUCUCUGUGCCGAAGCAAACGCGAUAAGUAAUCCACCUGGGGAGUACGGCCGCAAGGCUAAAACUCAAAGGAAUUGACGGGGACCCGCACAGGCAGUGGAGUAUGUGGUUUAAUUCGAGGCAACGCGAAGAACCUUACCAGGGAUUGACAUCCUGCGCUAGGCCUGGAGACAGGUUGUUCCUUCGGGACGCAGAGACAGGUGGUGCAUGGUUGUCGUCAGCUCGUGUCGUGAGAUGUUCGGUUAAGUCCGGCAACGAGCGCAACCCUUGUUGUCAGUUACCAUCAUUAAGUUGGGGACUUUGGCGAGACUGCCGUUGACAAAACGGAGGAAGGUGGGGAUGACGUCAAAUCAUCAUGCCCCUUAUAUCCUGGGCUACACACGUACUACAAUGGGCGUUACAGCGGGCAGCCACACCGCGAGGUGGAGCGAAUCCCGAAAGGCGUCCCCAGUUCGGAUUGCAGGCUGCAACUCGCCUGCAUGAAGUCGGAAUUGCUAGUAAUGGCAGGUCAGCAUACUGCCGUGAAUACGUUCCCGGGUCUUGUACACACCGCCCGUCACACCAUGAGAGUCUGUAACACCCGAAGUCAGUAGUCUAACCUGAUUAGAUUAGGGGGACGCUGCCGAAGGUGGGAUAGAUAAUUGGGGGUGAAGUCGUAACAAGGUAGCCA
rnacentral:rRNA from 1 species